GUUAGUGUGUUUAGUUAAAUUGCUGAAAAUAACGAGUGUUUUGUCACUGUAAUAUUACUUUGGUCACAAUAACGGAUACCAAACACGAGAGACGCCAGAACGUCGCAAAGGUUUCCAAGCUUUCAAUCAUCGCAUUUUCGAGACAAAUCAACUUGCAAACCACUUGGAAUUCUUCACGGACCACUGCCUUUGAGAGCACUGCCCCACUGACAAACUAAAGUCCCCCGUGUCAUCAAGAAAUUUGGCCUUUACUCCUUGUUUCCGAUGGACUGGAACUGUCUUUGACCUUUCGCCUCAGCCCAGUGGUGUCAUUUGUUUGAAAAUACUUGCCCUACUUGAAGUUUCACAGAGGUGAGUUCCUCUUGCUUGUUGCUGAUUUUUCAUUUCAGGAUGUGCUUUCUGUCAAAGAGAGGGUUAGCUGCUCCAUUAAA